rnacentral:snoRNA from 1 species
CUCACACAUCAACCUAAGAAUCGCUGCUUCUUGUAGCACUGGUUUAAACAGAGGUGCACACGGCAAGUGGAUAUUGGCAACUUUGGCUGUGGUUGUGCCCCUCAAAGUAAAUUUGGAGGUUCUACAUUC